GGAGGGCCGGGGCCGGAGCGGUUUGGUCUCAGUCGCGUCACAUCAGUCAGUCGAGUAACAACCUCGCCAGUCGCCAGCUUGCGAACCGUACGCACGGCGCACACGUGUCCUCGCGCCCGACCCUUAUUCCUCUUCCACGCCGCCGCGCCGCACUCCGCGCGAACGUCGCGAUCGCUUCGGCUCUCUGGUGCCGAACCGACCGGUGCGCCUCGCUCGCUUUCUACCUAUUAUGUAAUACGAAAAUAAACACCGCGCCUUUAACAGCGAGCACGUGUGCGCACCGGCUGCUGUACUCCGCCGUCCACAUUCGAUAGCCGACUCAUCGACCUUUCUUUGCCAUCAUAAUAUCCAUCAAGCCGUUUUCUCGCGGCUGCAACAGAAAGUUUUACCUCAUUCUCGUGACUCCCGUCGAUCAAUAAUCUGUUCGGUUUCAUAAUUAACUUUAUCGGAGGUGUUGUGUUUGUGGGAUUGUUUAAAAAUUGAAGUGUAAAAUGUCUAAUUCCAUGGAGCAACAGUUUGGGGAGCUCAGUCUGUCACAGGAGGACCACGAUCAAAUUUUUGAACAGGAGGACCAUCAAGAUCAAAGCCGAUCAAGGAUUCUCAUCAGUGGGCUCCCCCCGCAUGCUCGCUUCGACACCAUCGAGCCCCUGCUCUCACAGUACGGCAACGUGCAACAUUGCGACAAAGCGAACUCGCGCGAUGCCUCCACCCAAGCGGUGUACAUCACAUUCGAGUCCCCGGAGCAGGCGCAGCAAGCCAUCAAUGGACUGAAUGGUUGCGAGUUGGAAGGCGGCCGUAUGAAGGUAGAGGCAGCUGAUGGGAUGGCACGCGGUGGGCGGCGCGGUCGGCCCGGCGGCGGCCGAGGCGGUGGCGGAGCCCCCGGCAGCGGCGCGCGUCCCACGGACUUCCCGCUGCGUCUGCUGGUGCAGAGCGACAUGGUCGGCGCCAUCAUCGGCCGCCAGGGCAGCACCAUCCGCCUCAUCACGCAGCAGAGCCGCGCGCGCGUCGACGUGCACCGCAAGGACAACGUCGGCUCGCUGGAGAAGGCCAUCACUAUAUACGGCAACCCGGAUAACUGCACCAAUGCCUGCAAAAGAAUAUUGGAAGUGAUGCAACAGGAAGCCAACAAUACUAACAAAGGGGAAAUCUGCCUCAAGAUCCUGGCCCAUAACAACUUGAUUGGCAGAAUCAUUGGCAAGGGCGGCAAUACCAUUAAAAGAAUUAUGCAAGAGACAGACACGAAGAUUACUGUUUCAUCCAUAAAUGAUAUCAAUAGCUUCAACUUGGAGCGUAUCAUCACUGUGAAGGGAACCAUUGAAAACAUGGCCAAAGCAGAGUCACAAAUAUCGGCCAAGCUGCGCCAGAGCUAUGAAAACGAUUUGCAGGUGCUGGCUCCCCAGAGCAUCAUGUUCCCCGGCCUGCACCCCAUGGCCAUGAUGUCGACUGGGCGCGGAUUCUGCGGUGCACCGCCGCCAUUCCCACCACCUAUCUAUGCGCCGCUGGCCGGCCAAGGUGGCGCUCAGCAGGGCGCUGGUGAUUCCCAGGAAACCACUUACCUAUACAUCCCAAAUAACGCGGUCGGGGCUAUCAUUGGCACCAAGGGAUCACACAUCCGCAACAUAAUUCGAUUCAGCAAUGCUUCAGUGAAGAUAGCUCCACUUGAGCAGGACAAGGUCGAGGGUGGCUCGGGCGUGGGCGUGGGCAUGGGCGCGGGCGCCGGUGCCGCCGCCGCCGCCGCCAACGCAGCGGCCCAACAGGAACGCAAGGUUACCAUUGUUGGUAGUCCUGAAGCUCAGUGGAAGGCGCAGUACUUGAUCUACGAGAAGAUGCGAGAGGAAGGGUUCAUGUCUGGGUCGGACGACGUGCGACUGACGGUGGAGAUCGUGGUGGCCUCGACGCAGGUCGGCCGCAUCAUCGGCAAGGGCGGGCAGAACGUCCGCGAGCUGCAGCGCGUGACCGGCUCUCUGAUCAAGCUGCCCGAGCAGCCGCAGCCGCAGCCGGCCACCUCCUCGCACGACCACGAGACCACUGUCCACAUUGUCGGACCGUUCUAUAGCGUUCAGCAGUCGCCCGAAGCGGGAUGAACGUAGUGGGCACGCCAGCAGUCGCUCUGGAGUUGGCUCACUGAAAUGACAUUUGUGUCAACCGUCAUGGCAGCACGUAUUAUCGUUUCCUUCAUGACGAACCGGUCGGCACAGAGGCGCAUCCGCGCCAUGGUGGCGCAGGCCAGCGCGCCGGUGCGCCACCGCCGGGCCGCCCAACAGGCGCCGCCGCCCGCGCAGCAGUAGACGGCGCGCGCCGCUCCACCCGCCGCCACCGCUCCGCCGUCUACCACCGCCGAGUUAGGCUACCCGCUCCAGUCCUACCCCGCUACCCCGGCCUACCCUCGCAGCCUACCCUCGCAGUCUACCCUCGCCCAGCUCUGCCGUAUCCGUAACUAUUAAUGCAAGCAGUAGUACGACUCGCUUGUCUACUUCUCUCUAUGUGUCUUCUCAUUUUCGUUGCACACAUGCUUUAUGUAGAUGAGCUGACUCCAGCGGACGAAGCUAUGGCUUACAUAAAUAUGAACGCGACGUUAUCUAAGCUAUACCUUUGUCCCCGUCUUUAUGCUGGACUGUCAGUUGUUUGUGUCAGUGUAAUGUAGCGUCAUACUCGUGCAAGUCGAACUGCAGCUUACAUUAAUGAGCGUCUGCAGUGCCCUGUGCGUGUGCAGCAUCUAGCGCUUCUAUUUGUUAGCACUCUAAGUUCAAUGUUGUUGUUGACGUAUUAUAUUAACAUAGUAAAUAUUGAAUUGUGAAUUUUAUUACUGGAUUUAAUGUUAAUGAGUAAUUGGAUCUAUAUAAUGAAUCUUAUAUAUAUAUUAUUAUACUAUAUUCAUAUACACAUUAUUUUUUAACGAUAAUACCAGUUAUAUGAAUUGAUAUGAAUUAGCCGGAAUAUAUUUAAUUGUUAUUUUGUUUUCAUACCAUGUUAUUAUAAAUCAGAGUUUUCACAAAUCGCAAUAGUUGACAUUAUGUUCUCUUAUACAUAUACACAUGUUAGUAGCAAUAGGUUAGAAUACAGCAACAAUUAUUAUACAAUCGAGAUGAAUCACAUAUUUUGUUUUGUUAUAAAGUAAUAGAUUAAUCUGUUAAUGCAUUUCAAUGAAUUUUGAUAUUAUUCUGAAGGGUGUGUGGGUUAGGAUCUCGGACUACGAAGGGAGAAACACGACAUCGCUUUAGUCACGAGGCUCGAGAAUAUCGGAUGCUUUGCAACUAGCAUACAUGAGUUUGACAGCACCUGCACACUGGCCGACCGGUCAACUGGUCGCCUGGCCAACUGGUCAACUGGUCGCCUGGCCGACUGGUCAACUGGUCGCCGGUGGACCGACAGUUCAGUCUGCGGGUAGCGUCUAGCUGUCUCACGGCGAUGCACUCUGAUUGAUGAAUUAGAUAUUUUUGCUGAAGUAGUCAUUGUUGGACGGUAUGGACUUAAAAGGUACGAGUUUAAUUUGUAAGUGUCAUUUGUUGAUCGUUUUCUUUGUAGAAUUGUCUUUGUUAGCUUUAUAACUGUUUCCUGUAUCGAUGCGAGUGUGAGCGAACAGUUCCACGCUACGAUGCGGUGUUAUGCGAGUGUACGAUUUGCGUUAAUUGUGCCAAGUGAGAUAUUUAAGAGAGAAUAAGAUUAAGUGAAUAAUAUCAAAAUUGUGAAGCUUAAAAAAUUAUAUUAUAUUUAUGAAGGUGAUAAUAUAUGGAAGUUUGGCAAGAAUGUUUCACUAUCUUUUUUCGUUGUUCUAUAUGCGAGAAUCUAAAACAAAUGUGUGCCAGUAGGUAUGAAAUGUAGUAACUUUGCCCCGGGUACAAUUAGUUUUGCCGAAAAUGUUGUCUGUAAAUGGAACUAAUAGUAGAUUAUGUAGUGGGUGGGUAUAAUAGUUUUGAAAAUAAUUUUUUUUAUACUUAAAUAAUAUAUAGCAAAUUACGUGUAAAUAGAAACUGACCUACAUUUGACAAAAACAAUCAAAAUCAAGUGAUUUUCUUAUAAUAUAAGAUGUUUAUUCAAACCAUAAAUUGUUUUGCGACCAGACACAGAAAAGUAUAUACUCCACUGACGGACAUGAUCAACGAAUUUACUGAUUUUACCGUCUCAUAGCCUCAAAAAAUUUAAUUCAAUGUUAUAUUAACAUUUUUUAUUUGUAAAUAAAAACUUUUAAAAACUGGAUGAAAUCAUUUAUGUUUCAAAAAAUGACAUAUUGAACCAUCUUACUUUAAUACACCAAAUAGCAAUUUAUUUUUACUGAAUUCUUGUUGUUAAGGGUUUUACAAAUCAUUUUUUUUAGAAUGUGGAUACUUUCUAUCUGUCUAUUUACUUCUCUGUCUACGUUUUUGUGGCAUUAUUUAUUUUGAAUGAACUUGAAAACAGAUCUCCACCGUACUCACACUUCCACAUAUUAUUGUAAAUUAUCUCUCUUUUGGCAUUCAAUUUUCACCAAAUGUACCGUCACUGAACGAUUUGUUUGAUUGCCUAUUUUAAUCAGUAUUUUGCUAAUGAACGUAAAACGUCUAACAAAUGCAGAUCCAUUCCAUGCAACUUUUGCUCUACCUUUCUGCAUGUCUAAUCUAGUUGCCAAACGCCAUCUAUAUAUAUAUAAAUUAAACAAUUUCAUAUAAUAUUAUUUGUUUGUUUUAGUGUCUUGUGCGAUUUAUUUUGUUUUAACAUGGGGGGCAUGUAUUAUAGAUCGAGCACUUGUCAAAAUUAUUAUACCUUUUUUUUUUUUUUUUUGAACAUGUGUGUUUGGUGUGUAUAAAAAAUAUUUGAUAUAUUAUUAUAGCUAGAGUGAGUUGGUGGCAAAAAUAAGAGAAAGAGGUAAAUGGGAACAGACAAAUAUCUUUCUAAUUACAUGUAAAGUUUUCUAUGAGAUAUUUGAUUUAGUUCUUCAUAGUAAUAUUAAUGUUUUGGGUGCCAUUUUCCACUAUAUUAAUAUUAAAAUAAAAUGUAUUAUUAUAUAAUACAAUUAUAACAAGAACACCUAAGAUAAUCACCACCACUCUUAUAAAAUUUAAUGGCAUUGAUAUACCGUCUGCAGGUUUAUUUUGAAAAUUGCCACCAGCUUACAUAGCUGAUAUCUGAAAGGUAUAAGUAAAUUUUCCAUUUGAUGGUUUUAAUUUUUAUUUUUUCGUUUAAUGAUUUUAUUAUUAUCUUUAUUAUUGGCCAUGAUUUCCUGCGCACGAGUCUUUGCAGUAUUACUUAUACGAACUGCAACUGUUUGCAAAUGGUCCGGUAUAGUAUUUUUUUUUAUAAGUAUAAUGAAAAAAAAAAUAUAAUAUCAUUAUACCUUUGCUUUUCGGAACAGGCUAAUUAUUAUAUCAUUAAGUAUUAUUUAGCCCUAGUUCGUUACUUUAGUAAACAGAUGGCCUGUCGUGUGUAUUCGAUAUAAAUAACAUUAAAAUAAGUACGUUAAUAGUGUAAACAUGUGAAAUUUUAAUAGUUUUUGCCAAUUGUCUCUUAGCCGUUUAAUUAGCAUACAGUUCUGAAGUGUCAGCGGCUAUUAAUGUUUUUUUUUUUUUAUGUCGGUCUUAAUAAAUAAUAGUAUCCCAUACCCUCGAGCACUUACGAAGCCGUUCUAAUAUUUUAUAUUGAGUUUUAAUGAAAAACGUUAUUUAAAUUUCAUGUUUUUAAUGUCCUAAUUAUUUUUAAAUAGAAAAAUUCUUCAGAGAACAAUUAUUACUGAAAUAGUUUCCACAGCUAAUUUAUUUUAGUGACACCAUUUAUUUGGUUUCAAAUGCAGGAACAAAUAUGUUAUUUCCAUACAUAUCUAUUAUAUAGGUACAAAUGCAAAUUGGCCUAAGUAAGAAUAUAACUGAAUUUCCACUAUAUUGUAUUGCGUUAGCGGAAUAUGUUUCCGCCAAUACAUAACGAUAUAGAAUAAAUAUCAGUCAUAUACCAUAAUAUUUUUUUAAUUACACAAUAAAAAAAAAUUGGUUUUUCCAGGUUUCAAUUUGUAUAUAAAUGUUGAUGAGUAUUCCUGUAAUGACACUUACGUGGCUUUUUGGAUGAAAGUUAAUGCGAUAAUUAACUAUCAAAUUACUAACAUUUAAUGAUCAUUUUCAUAAUAACAUUAGAAAUAAUAUUAACACCACUUACUAUUCUAUUUACAUUCAAUUAUUCUUUUUCCUAUUGUUUUCAUGUACUCUUCUCAUGUACAUGAUUACAUGGUCCUAUAACCAGUAAUUUCUUUAUCUAAAACUUUUUAAAUAUGAAUAAGGUACAAUUAUUGACAGGCUAUUUUCUAUUUGUCCUAUAUUAACUUAGGGUCUUAUUUGUUCAGUAUUUUUCAAUGGGUUCUAACGUUUUCAAAAUCAAAGUAAACAGCAUAUAAAAUUUAUAACGGUUAUUGUAGUGCUUCACGGGUAUGGAAUAAAUACAUAAUUGCAAAAAAAAUCGCUUAUUUUUGGUUGUGUGAAACCAAUCUCUGCUUACUAAGACUCUUAUUAACAGCCAGGAUUUUCGUUGAUAACUGGCCAACGGUCGCAUUUAAAUAAAGAUUAAUUAUUAUUAGUUUACUACUUUUGGAUAUACAUGUGCUAAUUUAGGCGUGUAACAAUUCAGUUUAAAAAUAAAAUAAAAAUAAAAAUAGCGAUAUACUUAAGGAGAAAGUGCGAGCGUGUCGGCCGCUUGACCGCGAAAGGAGUAGGAGUGUACAUAUAGCAUGUCGUUUAUUCCUUCCAUUGUAAGCAAGAGUAUCGCAAUGUGAACAGCAUUACGAUUUCCAUGAUGUGUUAGGAAUCAGAAAUGAAUAGAUUUAGUUGAUUAUUGUAUCGUUGUGAAGUAGUGUUAAGUUGGGGGCAAGCGCGGGCGCACGCGGCCCGAGACUGAACUACAUCGCUGCGUCGCCCGCUCUUGGUCAUCUACGGCUUGACAAAAAAGUGUAGAAGCUGAACUAACUUUUUUUUUUACCAUGCUACAACACUAUUCCACUUGUCAGUUGUUAGUGUCUAUGCUGUCAAAAGUGAUUAUUAUGUCGCUAAAAGGGCUAGAACCCAAAGCCGUAAAGAUCAUUAUUAAAAAAAAAUCGGCUUUGAAGGUUAUGUUGUUUUAUGGUUACGGCUACGUAUAUUGUAUCUUGUAUUCGUGUUGCCGUGUUGGCGAUAGUGGCGCCUUUAUUAAUUUCUACUCUUUUUUGCCAGGCUAUACAUAUUGUCAUUUCUCGCUGGUAAUAAAUUUAUUGUCAUUCUUGUUUCCAUGGUUCUAUACUGUUAUAUAUACGAUCACGUUUUAAUGAUAUUGGUAAAUGUGUGUAAUCUACGUUUGUGAUUGUCGGAUUUAAUUUGAAUUUAUGCGCAUGAAUGUAUUUUGAAAUCAUUGAUGUAUUUGGUCAGGUUUUAAAAGUAAAAAUAGUAUUGAAUUGAAAAUUGAAUUACCGAAAAUGUAUGAUGUAAUAAACACUAAGCACAGUCGAGUCUGUCGCACUGUAUAUAGCACUGUGACAAGUAAGAGAUUCCAGAGGACACUAUAGUAUUGAGAAGCUGUUAUUGUUGCUUCUCAUCUUGACAGAAGUCCAAUGUACAAGUUUAAAGUUAGUUAUUUUUUUUUUUCAUGUUUCUUCACACUCGAUUCAGUGUACAUUUUAAGAUGUUUUAAAAGUCUAUUGGGCUUUAUGGCAUGUUUUACCUAAAUUUUGUUGUAAAUGUUAUAUAAGAACCAUUUUAUAAUUGGUAUAAGUUCAGAAACUAAUAACUACCUCAAUAUUACUAAAUGAAUAUGAUAAUUAUCUUUGUGCAUGUUUUGGACACUGAAUUUAAAAUAUUACAAAAAAAAUCAAUAUUGUAUAAGAAUGCUAUUAUAUAAACAAUAAUGGAAAUUGUCAAAUUUAGGUUUCUUAAAUGUAAUAAAAAUUGAUCAAUA